AGAAGUUAAAAAAAAAAAAGUCAUAGAGUCUGGCAGUCUGUCAGUCAGUCUCCCUUUUUGUCUUUCUUUUUGCUCGUUCUUCCUCGGAAUUUUUAUUUUUUUUUGGUUCCCUCUCUCUGUCAUCCUAU
rnacentral:ribozyme from 11 species